GGCCGGUUAGCGUAAUGGUAACGCGUCACUUUCCGGUGUUGCGGAGAUUGGUGAAGAUUGCGGGUUCGAGUCCCGUGCUGGUCG
rnacentral:tRNA from 1 species